rnacentral:rRNA from 1 species
UGCCAGCAGUCGCGGUUAUACCAAGAAGUUAAGUUAUACUAAAUGGUUAAAAGACAGUUAAGUGUUUGUGAAGGUUAAGGUUAUUUAAUAUAAUGUAUAGAGGUAAAAUUCAAGUGCAGUUGUAUGAAUCAGAAAUAACCUGUAGGCUGAAUCUGUGAAAUCCUUGAGGGAAACUGGGAUUAGGUACCCCACUAUUCUUGGAUGUAAAUAGAAGAUCUUUACCGGAGUACUAUGAAUAUUGUAAAUUUAAAACUCAAAGAACUUGGCGGUGUUUUAGACCACUCAGGGGAACCUGUCUCAUAAUCGACAAUCCACGUUAUACCUGACCUUUCUUUGUUUUCAGUUUGUAUACCGUUGUCGUCAGGUAACUUUUUAGAAUAUAGAAGUUGGCUAGGAAAAUAAAUAAUUUAGCACGUCAAAUCAAGGUGCAGCUAACAGAAAGGGGAGGAUGGGUUACAAUUAUACAAUUAUAAUUACGGAUGAUUAUAUUAAAGUGUAAUGUUUAAAAGGAGGACUUGAAAGUAAAUUAGACUUAUAAAAAUAAGUUUGAAUAAGGCUCUGAAACGUGUACACAUCGCCCGUCACUCU